CGUGAUCCUCCGGAAAUUAUUAUAUUGCACUAUUUUGAUGCAGAUGAGGAGGAGGAGGGCGAGCCUGAGGAGAUGGCUCCGCCCGAAGAGUGAUCUGGGAUCACUGGCUUUGUUAUUUUAUUUUACUCAUUUGUAUUUGGGACAUGUGUUAAACUUUAUUUUGGGAUGACUGUAUAAAUGCUUUUAAACCUCUUCUGAUAUUUAGAUUGUAUUUUAAAUUCUGGUACUUA